UACGUAGGUGGCAAGCGUUGUCCGGAUUUACUGGGCGUAAAGAGCGCGCAGGCGGUCGUUCAAGUCGCGUGUGAAAGCCCCCCGGCUCAACUGGGGAGGGUCACGCGAUACUGAUCGACUCGAAAGGCAGGAGAGGGUAGUGGAAUUCCCCGGUGUAGUGGUGAAAUGCGUAGAUAUCGGGAGGAACACCAGUGGCGAAGGCGACUACCUGGCCUGUUCUUGACGCUGAGGCGCGAAAGCUAGGGGAGCAAACGGG
rnacentral:rRNA from 1 species